GCGGUCGUGGCGAAACUGGCAGACGCGCUGUCUUCAGGCGGCAGUUCUUCGGAGUGAGGGUUCGAAUCCCUUCGACCGCA
rnacentral:tRNA from 1 species